GCUUUGGUGGCUCAGUGGUAGAGUUCUUACCUUCCAUGUGGGAGACCUGGGUUUCACUCCCAGCCAACACA
rnacentral:tRNA from 1 species